AAUUUUUGUUAAAAUCAAACUAAGUUUAAUUUUGGACCCUUUGGACCUUAAUGUAGACCAAUUUGAAAACGGGACCAAAAAUUAAGAAUCUACAUUCAUAGUUAGAUUCGGCAUAUCAAAGAACCCCAAUUAUUUAAUUUUUGAUGAAAUCACACAAAGUUCAAUUUUGGACCCUUUGGGCCCCUUAUUCCUAAACUGUUAGGACCAAAACUCCCAAAAUCAAACCCAACCUUCCUUUUAUGGUCAUAAACCUUGUGUUUAAAUUUCAUAGAUUUCUAUUCACUUAUACUAAAGUUAUGGUGCGAAAACCAAGAAUAAUGCUUAUUUGGGCCCUUUUUUGGCCCUUAAUUCCUAAACUGUUGGAACCAAAACUCCCAAAAUCAAUCCCAACCUUCCUUUUGUGGUCAAAAACCUUGUGUCGAAAUUUCAUAGAUUUCUAUUCACUUAAACUAAAGUUAUAGUGCGAAAACCAAGAAAAUGCUUAUUUGGGCCCUUUUUGGCCCCUAAUUCCUAAAAUGUUGGGACCAAAACUCC
rnacentral:lncRNA from 1 species